rnacentral:rRNA from 1 species
AAGACCUUGCGCUUUUGGAGCGGCCGAUGCCUGAUUAGCUAGUUGGUGGGGUAAUGGCCUACCAAAGCUUCGAUCAGUAGCUGGUCUGAGAGGACGGCCAGCCACACUGGGACUGAGACACGGCCCAGGCUCCUACGGGAGGCAGCAGUGGGGAAUUUUGGACAAUGGGCGCAAGCCUGAUCCAGCCAUGCCGCGUGAGUGAAGGAGGCCUUCGGGUUGUAAAGCUCUUUCAGCCGGGAAGAAAAGGUUGCGAUUAAUAAUCGCAAUUUAUGACGGUACCGGAAGAAGAAGCACCGGCUAACUACGUGCCAGCAGCCGCGGUAAUACGUAGGGUGCGAGCGUUAAUCGGAAUUACUGGGCGUAAAGGGUGCGCAGGCGGUUUUGUAAGUCAGAUGUGAAAUCCCCGGGCUUAACCUGGGAACU